UACGGGAGGCAGCAGUGGGGAAUAUUGCACAAUGGGCGCAAGCCUGAUGCAGCCAUGCCGCGUGUAUGAAAAAGGCCUUCGGGUUGUAAAGUACUUUCAGUCGUGAGGAAGGUGUUAAGGUUAAUAACCUUAGCAAUUGACGUUAGCGACAGAAGAAGCACCGGCUAACUCCGUGCCAGCAGCCGCGGUAAUACGGAGGGUGCGAGCGUUAAUCGGAAUUACUGGGCGUAAAGGGCACGCAGGCGGUUAAUUAAGUUGGAUGUGAAAUCCCCGGGCUUAACCUGGGAAUGGCAUUCAAGCUGGUUAGCUAGAGUCUUGUAGAGGGGGUAGAAUUCCAUGUGUAGCGGUGAAAUGCGUAGAGAUGUGGAGGAAUACCGGUGGCGAAGGCGGCCCCUGGACAAAGACUGACGCUCAUGUGCGAAAGCGUGGGGAGCAAACAGGGAUUAGAUACCCGU
rnacentral:rRNA from 1 species